GAUGAAGCAGACCAGGGAAAGGACAUGAGCAUGGAGGGGGGUGUGGUUAGGAGAGCUGUUCAGGAAGCUUGGUGAUUGGGCUUGCCAAGCAGGACAACAUUGGAUUAUGCCCAUGUUCAUGGCUUGGGGGCCUGAGUGGGGGGCGCUCCUAUUCACUGAAAUGGGAGAUGCAGGAGGAAGAACAGAGAAGUGGGCUUAGAUUGGGAUGUGUUUGCUGUGAAGCAGCCAUGGGCAUCUGGUGGGGAUGGGACAUCUGGGUCUGGGCAUUGCCACUAUGAGGAGCUAUUAGGAGAAGCCAGGGGAGUGGACUGAAAGGAAGGCCCAGGUCAAGGGCUUUCCUUGGUACCUCUGAAAAAUCAGAUGGGCUGCUUGACUUCAUCUGCUUGUAGUUAAGUAUGGGAAAUGGUCACUUUCGAAAAGGGCUGGACAAAAUGCCUUCUAGCCUGAAGGACUGUACCUCAGCAGGUUUCCUUUCCGUAGCAAGCUGCCUCGUACCCAGCCAGACGGCACCAGCGUCCCUGGAGAACCAGCCUCACCUAUCUCCCAGCGCCUGCCCCCCAAGGUAGAAUCCCUGGAGAGUCUCUACUUCACUCCCAUCCCUGCUCGGAGUCAGGCCCCCCUGGAGAGCAGCCUGGACUCCCUGGGAGACGUCUUCCUGGACUCGGGUCGUAAGACCCGCUCCGCUCGUCGGCGCACCACGCAGAUCAUCAACAUCACCAUGACCAAGAAGCUAGAUGUGGAAGAGCCAGACAGCGCCAACUCAUCCUUCUAUAGCACACGGUCUGCUCCUGCUUCCCAGGCUAGCCUGCGAGCCACCUCCUCUACUCAGUCUCUAGCUCGCCUGGGUUCUCCCGAUUAUGGCAACUCAGCCCUGCUCAGCUUGCCUGGCUACCGCCCCACCACUCGCAGUUCUGCUCGUCGCUCCCAGGCCGGGGUGUCCAGUGGGGCCCCUCCAGGAAGGAACAGCUUCUACAUGGGCACUUGCCAAGAUGAGCCUGAGCAGCUGGAUGACUGGAACCGCAUUGCAGAGCUGCAGCAGCGCAAUCGAGUGUGUCCCCCACACCUGAAGACCUGCUAUCCCCUGGAGUCCAGGCCUUCCCUGAGCCUGGGCACCAUCACAGAUGAGGAGAUGAAAACCGGAGACCCCCAGGAGACCCUGCGCCGAGCCAGCAUGCAGCCAAUCCAGAUAGCCGAGGGCACUGGCAUCACCACCCGGCAGCAGCGCAAACGGGUCUCCCUAGAGCCCCACCAGGGCCCUGGAACUCCUGAGUCUAAGAAGGCCACCAGCUGUUUCCCACGCCCCAUGACUCCCCGAGACCGACAUGAAGGGCGCAAACAGAGCACUACUGAGGCCCAGAAGAAAGCAGCUCCAGCUUCUACUAAACAAGCUGACCGGCGCCAGUCGAUGGCCUUCAGCAUCCUCAACACACCCAAGAAGCUAGGGAACAGCCUUCUGCGGCGGGGAGCCUCAAAGAAGGCCCUGUCCAAGGCUUCCCCCAACACUCGCAGUGGAACCCGCCGUUCUCCGCGCAUUGCCACCACCACAGCCAGCGCUGCCACUGCUGCCAUUGCUGCCACCCCUCGAGCCAAGGGCAAGGCAAAGCACUAAAGGGCCAGUACCAGUGAGUGGCCCCACCUGUGUCCCCGAUGCUGACCUCACCUGGUCCUCCACCUACUGUCCCUUUCAGUGCCUUCUCUCAGCUCCCAGGCCAACAGUAGCCAAACCCCUAGAGACAGUGAUGCCUGCCCACACCCUGGCCUGGUCCCUGGACCUUCACUGGCGCCUUCUCGGAGCUGGCCCAGGGGGCCUGGAGCAUGGACAGUGUGGGCGCUCUCCCUACCUACCUUGCCUCCUUUUUUCUUAAAGCAAAGUCACUUCUCCAUCACAAUCAGAUUUGAGGCUGGUUUUGAUGGCUGGGUCCUUGGGCCUGGCCAGUCUUCCUCUUAGCCUCUGGAUCUAGAAGGGACCAUAAGAGGAAUAGGCCCUGGUUCCUGCUGUCCUGGUGGCUGGGCCUAGCAGGGGCCCUCACUCUUGAAGUCCAGGACUGGGUCUGACCUGGUGGGAGCACCUGCCAGACGAUGCUCUUUCCCAGGACGGAUGGGCCCUGUGUCUCAGGAGUGGGGUUGGGGGACAGCCUUCAGCGGCAGCUCACACCCUACCUUCCCCAGACUUGCACUGGGGUGGGAUUUGGAGUGAUGGGAAGGUUUUUAAGGGCCGGGGAUGGAUCUUUUCUAAAUGUUAUUACUUGUAAAUAAAGUCUAUUUUUCUCCCGUGA
rnacentral:sRNA from 1 species